rnacentral:rRNA from 1 species
UCCUACGGGACGCAGCAGUGGGGAAUAUUGCACAAUGGGGGAAACCCUGAUGCAGCGACGCCGCGUGAGUGAAGAAGUAUUUCGGUAUGUAAAGCUCUAUCAGCAGGGAAGAAAAUGACGGUACCUGACUAAGAAGCCCCGGCUAACUACGUGCCAGCAGCCGCGGUAAUACGUAGGGGGCAAGCGUUGUCCGGAUUUACUGGGUGUAAAGGGCGUGCAGCCGGGAAGACAAGUCAGAUGUGAAAUCCCGCGGCUCAACCGCGGAACUGCAUUUGAAACUGUUUUUCUUGAGUACCGGAGAGGUC